GACAGAGGGUGCGAGCGUUGUCCGGAAUCACUGGGCGUAAAGGGCGCGUAGGCGGCCUGAUAAGUAGGGGGUGAAAUCCUGUGGCUUAACUGCAGGGCUGCCUCCUAGACUGUUAGGCUCGAGCACGGUAGAGGCAGAUGGAAUUCCCGGUGUAGCGGUGGAAUGCGUAGAGAUCGGGAAGAACAUCGGUGGCGAAGGCGGUCUGCUGGGCCGUUGCUGACGCUGAGGUGCGAAAGCGUGGGGAGCAAACAGG
rnacentral:rRNA from 1 species